rnacentral:rRNA from 1 species
AGGACGAACGCUGGCGGCGUGCUUAACACAUGCAAGUCGAGCGGUAAGGCCUUUCGGGGUACACGAGCGGCGAACGGGUGAGUAACACGUGGGUGAUCUGCCCUGCACUCUGGGAUAAGCCUGGGAAACUGGGUCUAAUACCGGAUAUGACCUGCUCUCGCAUGGGGGUGGGUGGAAAGAUUUAUCGGUGCAGGAUGGGCCCGCGGCCUAUCAGCUUGUUGGUGGGGUAAUGGCCUACCAAGGCGACGACGGGUAGCCGACCUGAGAGGGU